AUUGAACGCUGGCGGCAGGCCUAACACAUGCAAGUCGAGCGGAGCGGCGGACGGGUGAGGAAUGCCUAGGAAUCUGCCUGGUAGUGGGGGAAAACGGCCGGAACCGGGCGAAAAUACCGCAUACUCUAAGAAGAGCCUAGGUCGGUUUAGCUAGUUGGUGGGGUAAAGGCCUACCAAGGCGACGAUCCCUAACCGGGCUGAGAGGAUGAUCAGUCACACUGGAACGGAGACACGGUCCAGACUCCACCGGGAGGCAGCAGUGGGGAAUAUUGGACAAUGGGCGAAAGCCUGAUCCAGCCAUGCCGCGUGUGUGAAGAAGGUCUGCGGAUUGUAAAGCACUUUAAGUUGGGAGGCGUUACCAACAGAAUAAGCACCGGCUAACUUCGUGCCAGCCGCCGCGGUAAUAC
rnacentral:rRNA from 1 species